GGGAGUGGAUGGGCCCCGGUGGGCUCCGCAGUCUUCAAAACUGACGGGGGCGCCCUCGAGGUUGCCCCGGUGGGUUCGACUCCCAUGCACUCCCG
rnacentral:tRNA from 1 species